rnacentral:rRNA from 1 species
UAAUGUUGAAAAAUUAGCGGAUGACUUGUGGCUGGGGGUGAAAGGCCAAUCAAACCGGGAGAUAGCUGGUUCUCCCCGAAAGCUAUUUAGGUAGCGCCUCGUGAAUUCAUCUCCGGGGGUAGAGCACUGUUUCGGCAAGGGGGUCAUCCCGACUUACCAACCCGAUGCAAACUGCGAAUACCGGAGAAUGUUAUCACGGGAGACACACGGCGGGUGCUAACGUCCGUCGUGAAGAGGGAAACAACCCAGACCGCCAGCUAAGGUCCCAAAGUCAUGGUUAAGUGGGAAACGAUGUGGGAAGGCCCAGACAGCCAGGAUGUUGGCUUAGAAGCAGCCAUCAUUUAAAGAAAGCGUAAUAGCUCACUGGUCGAGUCGGCCUGCGCGGAAGAUGUAACGGGGCUAAACCAUGCACCGAAGCUGCGGCAGCGACGCUGAUGCGUUGUUGGGUAGGGGAGCGUUCUGUAAGCCUGUGAAGGUGUGCUGUGAGGCAUGCUGGAGGUAUCAGAAGUGCGAAUGCUGACAUAAGUAACGAUAAAGCGGGUGAAAAGCCCGCUCGCCGGAAGACCAAGGGUUCCUGUCCAACGUUAAUCGGGGCAGGGUGAGUCGACCCCUAAGGCGAGGCCGAAAGGCGUAGUCGAUGGGAAACAGGUUAAUAUUCCUGUACUUGGUGUUACUGCGAAGGGGGGACGGAGAAGGCUAUGUUGGCCGGGCGACGGUUGUCCCGGUUUAAGCGUGUAGGCUGGUUUUCCAGGCAAAUCCGGAAAACUAAGGCUGAGGCGUGAUGACGAGGCACUACGGUGCUGAAGCAACAAAUGCCCUGCUUCCAGGAAAAGCCUCUAAGCAUCAGGUAACAUCAAAUCGUACCCCAAACCGACACAGGUGGUCAGGUAGAGAAUACCAAGGCGCUUGAGAGAACUCGGGUGAAGGAACUAGGCAAAAUGGUGCCGUAACUUCGGGAGAAGGCACGCUGAUAUGUAGGUGAAGUCCCUCGCGGAUGGAGCUGAAAUCAGUCGAAGAUACCAGCUGGCUGCAACUGUUUAUUAAAAACACAGCACUGUGCAAACACGAAAGUGGACGUAUACGGUGUGACGCCUGCCCGGUGCCGGAAGGUUAAUUGAUGGGGUCAGCGCAAGCGAAGCUCUUGAUCGAAGCCCCGGUAAACGGCGGCCGUAACUAUAACGGUCCUAAGGUAGCGAAAUUCCUUGUCGGGUAAGUUCCGACCUGCACGAAUGGCGUAAUGAUGGCCAGGCUGUCUCCACCCGAGACUCAGUGAAAUUGAACUCGCUGUGAAGAUGCAGUGUACCCGCGGCAAGACGGAAAGACCCCGUGAACCUUUACUAUAGCUUGACACUGAACAUUGAGCCUUGAUGUGUAGGAUAGGUGGGAGGCUUUGAAGUGUGGACGCCAGUCUGCAUGGAGCCGACCUUGAAAUACCACCCUUUAAUGUUUGAUGUUCUAACGUUGACCCGUAAUCCGGGUUGCGGACAGUGUCUGGUGGGUAGUUUGACUGGGGCGGUCUCCUCCUAAAGAGUAACGGAGGAGCACGAAGGUUGGCUAAUCCUGGUCGGACAUCAGGAGGUUAGUGCAAUGGCAUAAGCCAGCUUGACUGCGAGCGUGACGGCGCGAGCAGGUGCGAAAGCAGGUCAUAGUGAUCCGGUGGUUCUGAAUGGAAGGGCCAUCGCUCAACGGAUAAAAGGUACUCCGGGGAUAACAGGCUGAUACCGCCCAAGAGUUCAUAUCGACGGCGGUGUUUGGCACCUCGAUGUCGGCUCAUCACAUCCUGGGGCUGAAGUAGGUCCCAAGGGUAUGGCUGUUCGCCAUUUAAAGUGGUACGCGAGCUGGGUUUAGAACGUCGUGAGACAGUUCGGUCCCUAUCUGCCGUGGGCGCUGGAGAACUGAGGGGGGCUGCUCCUAGUACGAGAGGACCGGAGUGGACGCAUCACUGGUGUUCGGGUUGUCAUGCCAAUGGCACUGCCCGGUAGCUAAAUGCGGAAGAGAUAAGUGCUGAAAGCAUCUAAGCACGAAACUUGCCCCGAGAUGAGUUCUCCCUGACUCCUUGAGAGUCCUGAAGGAACGUUGAAG